rnacentral:rRNA from 1 species
UACGUAGGUGGCAAGCGUUGUCCGGAUUUAUUGGGCGUAAAGAGCGUGUAGGCGGCUCGGUAAGUCCGCUGUGAAAGUCCAGGGCUCAACCCUGGAAUGCCAGUGGAAACUGUCGAGCUAGAGUCCGGAAGAGGCGAGUGGAAUUCCUGGUGUAGCGGUGAAAUGCGCAGAUAUCAGGAGGAACACCAAUGGCGAAGGCAGCUCGCUGGGACGGUACUGACGCUGAGACGCGAAAGCGUGGGGAGCAAACAGG